CUCCUGCAGCCCCAACAAGGAAAAAAUGUCAUAUUUUUUCAAGUGUAGUCUAAUGUACGAGGAGAGGAAUUGAACUCGGAUGCAAAAAGACGGGCACAAUGCCGUGACAAAAGAGAUGUUAUAAAUAUAAAUAUGCAAGUUAGUUCUUGAGAGCUACCAUAAUAAUUAUUGGUGGAGCCUUACCUUUGUACAUCUUGUACAACCAAUUCAGGGUUUUGCUGCAGUGGUCUGGAGGCAAUGAGGGUUGGGGUGAGGAGACAGAAGAGGAGGAAGCUGAGGAGAGAGAGAGGUGAGGGGCCUAAGGAGGGCCUCGCCAUUUUGGCCUUGUGUGUGUUUUAGGUGUGCAAGGCACUAGGGUAGCAAAGCAGAGAGGAGAAAAGGAAGUGUGUUUGUG
rnacentral:lncRNA from 1 species